CUUGACCGAGCCGAGCAGCAGCGCGCGCUCCGGGUCGCGGUCCUUGCCGUACGUGGCGAACAGCGCCUGCGCCUC
rfam:Streptomyces sp. AcH 505 scaffold00001, whole genome shotgun sequence.